rnacentral:snoRNA from 1 species
GCCCUGUGAUGCUUGCAAAUGACAAGCAUAUAUCUGAUCUAUGAAGAUACCAUUUUUUGCCUGAGGC